AACGCUAGCUACAGGCUUAACACAUGCAAGUCGAGGGGCAUCAGGGUAGCAAUACCGCUGGCGACCGGCGCACGGGUGAGUAACACGUAUCCAACCUACCGUUAACUCGGGGAUAGCCUUUCGAAAGAAAGAUUAAUACCCGAUAGUAUAUUUUCUUCGCAUGUUGAAAAUAUUAAAGAAUUUCGGUUAUCGAUGGGGAUGCGUUCCAUUAGGCAGUUGGCGGGGUAACGGCCCACCAAACCUACGAUGGAUAGGGGUUCUGAGAGGAAGGUCCCCCACAUUGGAACUGAGACACGGUCCAAACUCCUACGGGAGGCAGCAGUGAGGAAUAUUGGUCAAUGGACGAAGGUCUGAACCAGCCAAGUAGCGUGAAGGAUGACUGCCCUAUGGGUUGUAAACUUCUUUUAUAUGGGAAUAAAGUUCUCCACGUGUGGAGUUUUGUAUGUACCAUUAUGAAUAAGCAUCGGCUAACUCCGCGCCAGCAGCCGCGGUAAUACGGAGGAUGCGAGCGUUAUCCGGAUUUAUUGGGUUUAAAGGGAGCGUAGGUGGACUGGUAAGUCAGUUGUGAAAGUUUGCGGCUCAACCGUAAAAUUGCAGUUGAUACUGUCAGUCUUGAGUACAGUAGAGGUGGGCGGAAUUCGUGGUGUAGCGGUGAAAUGCUUAGAUAUCACGAAGAACUCCGAUUG
rnacentral:rRNA from 1 species